rnacentral:misc_RNA from 1 species
CAGAGUUGUAAAACUCCCAACCCAUGUGAACAUACCUCUGUUGCCUCGGCGGCCUACCCGGUAGCUACCCUGUAGUUACCCUGUAGUCCGCCGGCGGAAUACAACAAAACUCUUGUUUAUUAGUGGUAUUCUCUCUGAGUGGCACAAGCAAAAAUAAAUUA